AAAUCGUACCCCAAACCGACACAGGUGGUCAGGUAGAGAAUACCAAGGCGCUUGAGAGAACUCGGGUGAAGGAACUAGGCAAAAUGGUGCCGUAACUUCGGGAGAAGGCACGCUGAUGUGUAGGUGAAGUCCCUGCGGAUGGAGCUGAAAUCAGUCGAAGAUACCAGCUGGCUGCAACUGUUUAUUAAAAACACAGCACUGUGCAAACACGAAAGUGGACGUAUACGGUGUGACGCCUGCCCGGUGCCGGAAGGUUAAUUGAUGGGGUUAGCGGCAACGCGAAGCUCUUGAUCGAAGCCCCGGUAAACGGCGGCCGUAACUAUAACGGUCCUAAGGUAGCGAAAUUCCUUGUCGGGUAAGUUCCGACCUGCACGAAUGGCGUAAUGAUGGCCAGGCUGUCUCCACCCGAGACUCAGUGAAAUUGAACUCGCUGUGAAGAUGCAGUGUACCCGCGGCAAGACGGAAAGACCCCGUGAACCUUUACUAUAGCUUGACACUGAACACUGGUCCUUGAUGUGUAGGAUAGGUGGGAGGCUUUGAAGCGUGGACGCCAGUCUGCGUGGAGCCAACCUUGAAAUACCACCCUUUAAUGGCUGGUGUUCUAACGUAGACCCGUGAUCCGGGUUGCGGACAGUGUCUGGUGGGUAGUUUGACUGGGGCGGUCUCCUCCCAAAGAGUAACGGAGGAGCACGAAGGUUAGCUAAUCCUGGUCGGACAUCAGGAGGUUAGUGCAAUGGCAUAAGCUAGCUUGACUGCGAGAGUGACGGCUCGAGCAGGUGCGAAAGCAGGUCAUAGUGAUCCGGUGGUUCUGAAUGGAAGGGCCAUCGCUCAACGGAUAAAAGGUACUCCGGGGAUAACAGGCUGAUACCGCCCAAGAGUUCAUAUCGACGGCGGUGUUUGGCACCUCGAUGUCGGCUCAUCACAUCCUGGGGCUGAAGUAGGUCCCAAGGGUAUGGCUGUUCGCCAUUUAAAGUGGUACGCGAGCUGGGUUUAGAACGUCGUGAGACAGUUCGGUCCCUAUCUGCCGUGGGCGCUGGAGAAUUGAGGGGGGCUGCUCCUAGUACGAGAGGACCGGAGUGGACGCAUCACUGGUGUUCGGGUUGUCAUGCCAAUGGCAUUGCCCGGUAGCUAAAUGCGGAAAAGAUAAGUGCUGAAAGCAUCUAAGCACGAAACUUGCCCCGAGAUGAGUUCUCCCUGACCCUUUAAGGGUCCUGAAGGAACGUUGAAGACUACGACGUUGAUAGGUCGGGUGUGUAAGCGCAGCGAUGCGUUGAGCUAACCGAUACUAAUGAACCGUGAGGCUUAACCUUACAACGCCGAAGCUGUU
rnacentral:rRNA from 1 species